GAGAGCCGGAUACUCCGAAAGGUGUACGUCCGGUUCGGAGGGGGGUUCACAAAAACCUGCCAUGAAAACGUGGUAAGGCGUUGGGUUCCUACCCUAC
rnacentral:ncRNA from 1 species